UCCGGUUUGUCAUCGGCAGUCCCAUUAGAGUGCUCAACUGAAUGUAGCAACUGAUGGCAAGGGUUGCGCUCGUUGCGCCACUUAAGGCAACACCUCACGGCACGAGCUGACGACAGCCAUGCAGCACCUGUGCAGGCUCCCGAAGGAGCACCGGCUUUCACCGGUUUCACCCUGCAUGUCAAGCCCUGGUAAGGUUCUUCGCGUUGCGUCGAAUUAAGCCACAUGCUCCGCCGCUUGUGCGGGUCCCCGUCAAUUCCUUUGAGUUUUAACCUUGCGGCCGUACUCCCCAGGCGGAUAACUUAAUGCGUUAGCUGCGCCACCAAAAGCCUAAGGCCCCUGACAGCUAGUUAUCAUCGUUUACGGCGUGGACUAC
rnacentral:misc_RNA from 1 species